rnacentral:rRNA from 1 species
ACUGUUCGCCAGAGAACUACAAGUAUAAAACUAGAAACUCCAAGGACUUGGCGGUGCUCCACACCAACCUAGAGGAGCCUGUCCUAUAAUCGAUACUCCACGAUUCACCCCACCACUUUUUGAAGUUCAGCCUAUAUACCGCCGCCGUCAGCCUACCUUAUGAAAGAAGAAAAGUGGGCAAGAAAGUCAUUGACUAAAACGUCAGGUCAAGGUGUAGCAUACAAAGUGGAAGAGAUGGGCUACACUCUCUUUCAAAGAGUACACGGACAGUACAAUGAAACAAUACUCCCCAAGGUGGAUUUAGCAGUAAGACAGGCAAGAAUACCUGCCUAAAACCAGCCCUGGAGCGCGCACACACCGCCCGUUCACCCUCCUCAAA